GUCGGGCAAUCCUGCUCAUAGACUUAGAAAUGAAAGCAUUUGGAGGAGGGGCAAGUGGAAGGCCCAGCAGCAGCGGGGAGCGUUGUCGGUAACCGAAGGGGCUCUGGUGAAUUUCAGCCUGAAAAGUCAAACUGCAGCUCCAGCUUAGGGCAGGGACUUCCAUUCCAGGGGACCCGAGCACCGACCAGAAUGAAGUCCUGCUGCGCCGGCCAGAGGCGAAAGUGGGAUGUGGACUGCCAUCUGGAAGAAUUCGGCUGGAUUCGGGUCCUCGAGGCUACAGCUUUGGACCUGCGGCCUGACAGGGGCGCACCCCUGAGUGAAUUAAUCCUCUUAUGACUAAAAGGUAACAUGGAAGGACGUCCUUUUGAUGUGGAAAAGCACCAUUUGUGACUCACAUUCAGACUGAUUAAGGAAUAAUUGUUGUUAAACGCUUUGCAAGAGGAAAGUGUUUAAUUGAGGGGCAUUCGUAAUUUUACGGCUUAGUGCAAAAUUAAAC
ensembl:lncRNA